rnacentral:misc_RNA from 1 species
UGCAGAGCCAAUUGUAAUUUUUUUUAUCAAUAUCAUAUAAUAAUACUUCGAAGGCAUCUUCUAUAUAAUGAAUUUGUGACAUAAUUAUAACCACAAUGAGUUGGAGACAGAGUUACUAAAGCAGAGAAUCUAUUGACAAAGUUUUAUUUAAAGACAAUAUGUUUAAUUUAGCAAAUCUUUCUUCUAUUUGAGAUAAUCAUAAGAGGCUUAUUGAGCUUAGGGUGCACGAAGGGAGGUAAUUUGAUAGAGUUAGGAACAGAAGAAAAAAGUUUUCUGAAAGAAGAAGGAAACUUUCAUUAAGAUAAUCAAAUUGCAAUUACAAUGGAACUGCUGUAAUCUCAAUGUUUACAAUGCAAGCUUCUACUCUUUCACUCCCUAAUUUAAUAAGAACAGCAACAACAAUAACAAUACUGGAAACCAGGAGAGUACUCCUGAGCAAGCUGAUAGCCUUGCCCCAAACUAUACUGCUGAAUUGAAUAAUCGUUUCCCCCCUUACUUGGGGCAGGCUGCCUCUAUUUAUGCACGCCUUCCUGCUCUUUUCUAUUAGCAUCUCCAGGUGGCAUUGUCUCUGACUCUCUGUGAUUCCCUCCACCGGAUGGGUUCUCCUCGGGCAUUUUGUAAUUGCAUGUUUCCUGAAUCUUCUCAACUUCUUUCUUCUGAUUGCUUGUUGCCAGAUUAUUCUAUUCUCUGUCUUUUUUUCUUCUAUACUAUGAGCUGUCCUGGCCUUUACUCUUUUCUUCCUGGGCUUUUAACUGUAUCCCUAACAUAAUUCUCCUCUGCUUCAUAAGCCAUCUCAUCACAAAUUUAACCAUUGGGGCAUUUGAAUGGAGAAAAAAUAUGUGUCUAUGCGACAUGAGUCAGUGAGAAGAAUUGUUCAUUGCCUCUCUUUAUUGAUAAAUUUCAGAAAAUAUUAGGAAAUUUAUUUAGGCCUAGUGUUAUUUGAUUUUAUUUGAAGACACCUGGGGGCAGUGCAUGUGUCUUAAUGAUUACGGUAAUCCUUAAUCCUUUCAACUUAAAAUCUGUAUAGUGGGUUGGAAAGUUGUCAGGCUUAAAUGCUAUGUGGAGUACUUUAUUGCAUAUAGUAUUGGUUGAUAUUUCUUUGGAAGCAGUUCUCAAUUGGGAUAAUGGCUUUCUUGUAAA